AGUUUUGACUCAGCUUGAGAUAAGCAUUGUUUUCAGGAACUGUCCUAUUUUAAUAAAGGAUGGUCAGCCGGGCGGACUGCUGCCCCUGAGGCUCCGCGUGCCGUCCUCAAGGGGCGCCGCUGCAGGACUGCGGUCUGCUGGCGCUGGUCCCCAGAUCUGAAUCCUAAACACCGGUGGCCUCCUGGCCUGUGCGACGCAGGCCGACUCCAGCCCUGCCAGUCCCAGGGGAUUUCUCCGCGGGCGCCCCACUCUUGGGAAGGUCGCUGCGUUUCCGGGUGAGUGCCUGGCCUGCGUCAGCGGCUGGGACUUGAAUCCGCGGCCGCUAGGAAUCUGCGAGGCCACAUGGGGCCGAAACCUGGGAGGGUCCGAAGACUCCGUUCCUGUGGCCUUUGAACGCUUGACAACUUUACCCUGGAGCUGUCUGCAGCGGCGCAGGGAAAUAAGAGAGCGUUUCAACAGUGAGGACCCUGGUACUAUGGAUGCAGCCCAGGGAGGCCGGGUGAGCAAGCUGGACGCGAGGCCAGAGGCUCUCCAGGGCAUCUGUGGAGAGAGAACUGGAAAUAGGGGGUGCCAAUAAUCCCAAGAUGAAAACUCUGAGUGUGACUACACAAAAUGAAGUUUACUUGAGGAUUAUAAAAGAAUAUUACAAUUCAUUAAGGUCAUUUACAAUGUUUAAAAAUCAUGCUUAUUGUAGAAACUUUGGAAGAUGUGAAAGUGUACAGAGGAGAUCAAGGAGCCCCCCAUAGAUGCACCUGUGCACACACACCCAUAAAACUACUGAAAACAUUUUUUUUUAUGUUUUAACAAACACAGGCGGUAUGGUGCAUUGAUUAAGAGUGUGGACUAGGAAGGCAGCCUGCUCUAUAUCACAUCCUGCUAGUUAGUUCAGAGACUGAACAAGUCACAUAAACCCUCUGUGUAUCAGCUUCCUCCUCUGUUUAAUGGGACAAUAAAGGGUAACAAGUGACCUGAAGUCUAUCACUGGAGAUUAGUUCACAAAUGUCAUAUAAAAGGAGUCAUACAGUACAUACUCCCUUGUGUCUGGCUUCUUUAGUGUUUUCUCAGGCUGGUGGUAGAAGAGAAAUUCGGAUAGAGCUGAAGAAUGAGAAGUAUUUGAUGUGAGGGAGGUUCUCUGUUCCUUAGAUGAAGAGGGCCAUGGGUCAAGGAUCUGAGUGGCCUCAAGACCUGCACAUAGUCCCCAGCCAACAAGCAGCAAUGAAGUGAGUGAAAUUCUUAUAGCCAUGAGGAAUGAAAUUCUUCCAACAACCUGAAUGAACCUAAAAGUGAAUUCUCCAAAUAAAAAUUGGACCCUCCUAAUAAGAGCCCAGCCUGGUCAAUACCUUGAUUUUUGCUCGAGAGACUCUAAGCAAAACACCCCAUCAAGCCCACCUGGACCAAGAGAACUAUGAGAAAAUAAAUGGGCAUUGUUAGAAGUCGCUUAAGUUUGUGGCAGUAUCUUACACAGCAAUAGAAAACUAAUGCACUUCUUCUGUAAAGCAUCUGUUCACACUUUUGCCCAUCUUGUUUUAAUUGGGUUAUCUUUUUAUUAUUGAACUGUAACUUUAAAAAUAUAUCUAUAUAUUUAAUUUUAAUUUUUAAUUUUUGUGAGUACACAGUAGGUGUAUAUCUUUAUGGGGUACAUGAGAUGUUUUGAUAUGAGCAUACAAUGCAUAAUAAUCACAUCAUGGAAAAUCCAUCCCCUUAAGCACUGAUCCUUUGUAUUGCAAACAAAACAACUAUACUCUUAGUCAUUUGUAAAUAUGCAAUUAAAUUAUUAUUGACUACAGUCAUCCCACUGUGCUAUCAAAUACUAGGUCUUAUUCAUUCUUUCUAUUACUUUUAAAAAAUGUAUUAUGCAUAUGUUAUUUGUCAGCUAUAUGUAUUGAGAACAUUUGUUGCCCAUUGGUGACUUGCUCUUGGUGUUUUUAAGGAAUAUUUUAAUUUUGAUCAAUUCAAAUUAGCAAUUUUUGUUUAUUCAAUAGCUUAAUGCAUUGACUUUCCUCUCUAAGAAAUUUUUGUCCAGCUUAAGAUCAUAAAUAUAUUCUCCUAAAUUUAUUUUUAGGAAUUAUAUGGUCACAGCUUUUAUGUUGGUUCUGUGUUAUAGUUUUGGUUUACUUCUGUGUAAAGUAUAAGGUAGGCAUUGAGGCUCAUUUUCUCAUUUUUUUGUGUGUGGACAAAAUUCAUUUUUGAAAAAGCAAUCUGUUCCCCCAUCAAAUUACCUUGGUAUAUUUUUUGAAAAUAACUUGACCGUACAUGUGAAUCUCCUCUUGAACUUUCUGUUCUGUAUCAUUUAUCCAUGUCUAUUCUUUUGCCUAUGCCAUUCUGCUUUAUACUGUAGAUUUUUAGUAAAUUUUGAAAUAAUGUAGAAUAAGUUCUCCAAAUUUAUUCUUCAUUUUCAAGAUUACUUGAGUUAUUCAAUGCACCUUUCAUUUCCGUAUAAAUUUUGAAAUUAAUUGGCUUGUCAAUUUCUACAAAAUUCCACUAAUAUUUUGAUUAUGAUUGUAUUGGAUCUAUAGAUCACUUUAGGGAGAUUUACAUCUUAACAACCUUGAGUCUUCCAAUCCAUGAAUACAACAUGUCACUCUAUUUAGCUAGGUCUUCCUUUAUCUCUCAGCUAUGUUUCCAACUGUGUUCAGUGUAUAUAUCCUGUAUAUACCAUAGCUCACUAAAUCUAUCUCAAAAUAUUUUGUGAUUUUGAUAGUACUGUAAAUGGUAUUUUUAAAUAUCAUUUUCUAAUUGUUCAUUAUUAGUAUGGAAAUGUCUUUGUAUCCUGCAACAUUGCUAACUUCACUUUAUAAAUUCUAGUACUGUUGUAGAUUCCUUAAGAUUUUCUAUGUUCAUGAUGGUAUGAUCUACAAAUAAAGACAGAUUUGCUUCUUUUC